rnacentral:tRNA from 2 species
GGGCCGGUAGUCUAGCGGAAGGACGCCCGCCUCGCGCGCGGGAGAUCCCGGGUUCAAAUCCCGGCCGGUCCA